GACGAACGCUGGCGGCGUGCUUAACACAUGCAAGUCGAACGGAAAGGCCCUGCUUUUGUGGGGUGCUCGAGUGGCGAACGGGUGGGUAACACGUGAGUAACCUGCCCUUGACUUUGGGAUAACUUCAGGAAACUGGGGCUAAUACCGGAUAGGAGCUCCUGCUGCAUGGUGGGGGUCGGAAAGUUUCGGCGGUUGGGGAUGGACUCGCGGCUUAUCAGCUUGUUGGUGGGGUAGUGGCUUACCAAGGCUUUGACGGGUAGCCGGCCUGAGAGGGUGACCGGCCACAUUGGGACUGAGAUACGGCCCAGACUCCUACGGGAGGCAGCAGUGGGGAAUAUUGCACAAUGGGCGGAAGCCUGAUGCAGCAACGCCGCGUGCGGGAUGACGGCCUUCGGGUUGUAAACCGCUUUCGCCUGUGACGAAGCGUGAGUGACGGUAAUGGGUAAAGAAGCACCGGCUAACUACGUG
rnacentral:rRNA from 1 species